CCCCGGCGCCACAAGUGGUUAUCACGAUUAUUGGGCCUAAAGCGUUCGUAGCCGGUUUGGUAAAUCUCUUGUGAAAUUGUUCGGCUUAACCGGACAGCGUGCAGGAGACACUGCCAGACUCGAGACCGGGAGGGGUUAGAAGUAUUCCAUGGGGACUGGUAAAAUGGGAUAAUCCAUGGAAGACUACCGAUGGCGAAGGCAUCUAACCAGAACGGAUCUGACGGUGAGGAACGAAAGCCAGGGGAGCGAACCGG
rnacentral:rRNA from 2 species